UGAUUGAAAGUAUUUAAAUGGCCGCGGUAUCUUGACCGUGCAAAGGUAGCAUAAUCGUUAGGUUUUUAAUUGGAAUCUUGUAUGAAUGGUUGGACAAAAGAAAAUCUGUCUUCUAUGUUGUUUGUUGAAUUUAACUUUUAAGUGAAAAGGCUUAGAUGAAUUAGAGGGACGAUAAGACCCUAGAAAGCUUAAUAUUAAAAUUUUACUUGGUUGAAUUAAUUAUAAAAACUUAGUAAUUGAAUUUAUUUUAUUGGGGCGAUAAGAGUAUAAAAGUCAUUAACUGCUUAAUUUUUAAUACAUUAUAUAAAUGAUUGAAUUUUUAAAUGAUCCUAGUUAAAGAUUAAGAGCUUAAGUUACUUUAGGGAUAACAGCGUUAUUUUUUUUGAGAGUGCUUAUCGACAAAAAAGUUUGCGACCUCGAUGUUGAAUUAAAAUGUCUUUAUAAUUGUAGCAGUUAUAAAAGUAGGUCUGUUCGACCUUUAAAGUUUUACAUG
rnacentral:rRNA from 1 species